UUGCUGUGUUUAAGACACUUUCGUAAAGAAAUGUGGAAAAAAUGCGUGGUUUCUCAAUAUUAAAAAAGGAAGGUUGACUUAUACACGAAAAUUUUCGGAACCAUGACACUAUUGAAAGAAAUUAUGCUCGAUACUCAGAAAUAAUCUCUAAAUGAAAUGAUAUCAACGACGUUUAAUAUUUACAUAAAUAUUUUUAAUUUUUCGAAAAACAAAAAUAUUUUAAAUUCUACGAAGCACUGUUGUACGCACGCUCAUUACAGCUGUUAAACUACGUGAACAAGUUUAUCCAAGUAAGCAGUCCAGAAAUAAAUAGCCUGAGAGCGUGUACUUUUGUGCCACAACAAAUUACUGCUUCAGAAUGUUGCCACUGCAAUUACAUCGACAACAAUUUGCGUCAAUCUUGCUAAAUAUAAGAUACAAUCUCACAUCACUCAAAGCUGUAGUGAUGUUGAUGGCUUAAAGGAAAAAAAAGGAAUAAUUUGAUGACGGAAUCACAAAACAACGAAAGCAUAUGCCAAUAAAGCUUUAAAUACGAAACCAGUUUCAAAAGAAGCUGUUGUUAUAGGCGCUUUUCUUUCUUAUAUCCCAAUAUACCAUAAAAAGUCCAAGCCAAACCACUGUGCAACGUGCGCAAAAACCGCCUCACCAGCAAAUGUCCUUGAGAAAUAGUGGAGGUAGUUGGCGAACAGACAUGUUGCCAAGGUGAUCAAUGGUCAAAACAAAUUUUAAAUUGCAAAGCCCAACAGAACGGCAAUUUUUUGCCCUGUUUAUUUAUUGCCUUGCGGAAAAUCAACGUCAUGCUUCACAUGCUCAAAUGUUAAACGUCACCAGUUGCAGUCGCGAAGACAGCUGCAACAUGUUACCCGCAUUAUAUGUACCUAUGUAUAAAUAUAGUAAAUACGAAUGUUUGCGGCAAAUUGUGAAUCGCCUACGAAAUAAUAUCAAUGACUAUGACUGUUGUCUGCAAAAUGUCUGUGCGACCAUUUGAGGCAUAUACAGCUGUGGACAUAUGAAUGUGCACUAAACAUAUAGUGGCUAAAGAGUGAUGACUGGGGCACUGAAUACACGAACAUAGGUAUACGUGUUUGUUUAAGUUAGCUUGAGGACUGUUGGAGUAUGCCUUUACACCAUGAAAAAGCUUUCCAUAAAGCACUGAUUCCGACCGUUCAGUUUAUGUGGCAGCUAUAUGCUAUAGUGGUCCGAUUUGAACAAUUUCUUCGAAGACA